rfam:Pristionchus pacificus strain PS312 contig9447, whole genome shotgun sequence.
UCUUGAUUUCACGUACUCUCUCACCGGUCAGAAAGGCGAGAGAGCGUAUGAAAUGAAGAGA